AGAAGGAGGGGCUUCCUCUGCCUUGGGGGAGGAGAGAAAAGAUGCAGCUGCCCAGAUUCAGGGCCCCCAAAAUCCUCCUUUUGUUCGAGUUGAGGCGGACCCAGUUCCUCCCUGUCCAGACCUUCCGGCUCUGGGGAUCUGCAGAGGCCCCUUCAGUCCCAGGAGACCCUCCCUUCCUCGGUCGUCCCACUGGAUCCCUUCCUCUUCAACUGUGGCAGGGACCUCGAUCUGGCCGGGGAUGAUUGACAGCUCCUGGGUACUUUGGGUUGGUUUUGAGGUUGGCUGUCUGGGUGGGGUUUGCUCUGCUGGGUAAGAGCUGCGUAAGGGAACGUCACAAAUACUCUGUGGACACCUGGUGGCAGAUUCCUCCUCCUCCCGGAGGGCCUGGAUGAGGCCGUUGGACAGGAGGCUAAAUAGAAACCCCACCUUCCCUUUGUUGGUUUAGCGGAGAGAGAGACGGACGCUCAACCUAGUCUCAGACACGGAUGGACGGAUGGACAGUAAGCCACGGCCACCAGAAGACCCCCCCCUUUCCGAGAGCCUCCACCUGUGCAGCUGCUGCUGCUCCUGCCUCGCCUGUCCUGGAGUGGAGCCGGAGCCCCCCCUCC